rnacentral:rRNA from 1 species
CCUACGGGAGGCAGCAGUAGGGAAUAUUGCUCAAUGGGGGAAACCCUGAAGCAGCAACGCCGCGUGGAGGAUGAAGGUUUUCGGAUUGUAAACUCCUUUUGUUAGAGAAGAUAAUGACGGUAUCUAACGAAUAAGCACCGGCUAACUCCGUGCCAGCAGCCGCGGUAAUACGGAGGGUGCAAGCGUUACUCGGAAUCACUGGGCGUAAAGAGCGCGUAGGCGGGAUAGCAAGUCAGAUGUGAAAUCCUAUGGCUUAACCAUAGAACUGCAUUUGAAACUGUUGUUCUAGAGUAUGGGAGAGGUAGGUGGAAUUCUUGGUGUAGGGGUGAAAUGCGUAGAGAUCAAGAGGAAUACUCAUGGCGAAGGCGACCUGCUAGAACGUAACUGACGCUGAUGCGCGAAAGCGUGGGGAGCAAACAGGAUUAGAUACCCCUGUAGUC